UCAGUCGGCCGGACGGCCGCUCCGCGCCAAUGCCGAAAGGCGGCCGGGGAGGAAAGUCCGGGCUCCAUGGACAAACGGUGCCGGAUAACGUCCGGCGGGACCCGCGCCGCAAGGCAGAGGUCUCAGGGACAGUGCCACAGAAAACAGACCGCCCGGGGCCGCGUUGCGUAUUGGCCUAAGGGUAAGGGUGAAACGGUGGGGUAAGAGCCCACCGCGCUCGUCAGCAAUGACGGCGGCACGGCAAACCCCACCGGGAGCAAAACCGAAUAGGGAUGACGCUGAGGCUUUCGGGCCGAAGACCUGUCCAGGUCAGUCAUCCGGGUAGGUUGCAUGAUGCACCGGGCAACCGGCGUACCAGAUGAAUGGCCGUCACGUUUGCGGAGCGAUCCGCAGGCCAUACAGAACCCGGCUUACAGGCUGGCUGAUAUG
rnacentral:RNase_P_RNA from 1 species